rnacentral:lncRNA from 10 species
AGAGGCCAACAACCUCCACUGACCCAGGUGGCCAAUAUGGUACAGUCAGGACUCCCCAGCAGCGAGAAGCCCCGGGGGACGAAGGUGGAGGCACCAAGCCGUGUGGAUUUCAGAGCCAUCCGCGGCUGCCGGCUGUUGGGGCGGCCAGGAGUGGCCUGCCAGCAGAUGGCGCUGCGCCGCACGUUAUGGACCCUCGUGUGCCCGACCGGCUCAGGGAAGGAGACAGACGGCUCAAAGUUUCUAGUGCCAUUCCUGGACUGAAACAAAUGUUUGUGGAAUUAAGUAGUGAUUUCCUUUAGUGUGCGCCACUCUUACUGGCUGUGUUUUCAGGCCUAGAUGUUAACAUAUGCCACAUAUUACUUUUUUUUUUUUUUUUUUCCUGGUGAAGUCAGGGGUUUCCAAGCACUCAGCCUCAUCCUAAGUGUUCAUGUCAACUAGCAAAGGUCUGCAUUUUCUGAUAAAAUAACUUAUAAAACUUCCAUAUUAAGAGCUAAAAUGGUUUGGAAGACAAAGAAGUGCUGAGAAAUUUUCAAGGUGGAGACAGUGGAGUCCAGUUCCCGUGAUGCUUCCUGGUGUGACAUGUGUGUAUGUGGAAUGCUUCUCUUUCAUCCUUACAGGAAGAAUGAGAGUUAUGCGAGAAUUCCUGGUGGAGGUGGGCAACUCUCUUCCCUGCAGAUAUUCAAGGAUUCAGGCAGAUAGAAUCUCGUUCAUCAUCAACAUGUUGCCUGCAAGGAUCUUAUGGUUUCUCCAUCUCAUCCAGCCAGAAGCAAAUAAAAGCACAGGCAAGCCCACAGAGGAGGAUUUUAUGGGCCAAACCUGGGAGUGACUCAUCACAUCCCUCCCCAUAAUCCAUUGACUAGAAUGUAAUUAUUUGGCCAUACCUAACUUCAAGAGCAGCUGGGAAAUGUGAGCUUGCUGCGUGCCCAGGAAGAAUAAGGAAAAAGGACUUUGGUGGGCAACUAUCAGUUUCUCACUUCUCUUGGUGCUAAAGAGCUUUGUAGUAGGAAGAUUUGCCCAGACUAUUUGUUGCACAGCCAAUCCUCAGACCAUCUUGAAGCAUGUAGAAAAGGACUAAGGAUUGGAAAUUGAGUUAAAAGCCUUAAUGGUGAAGCAAGGAAUGAAAGAGGAAAAAUCAUAGCAACUUGGUGAACUUGAAAAUGUACCUAGGUCACACCCCUUCUUUACUUCAAGCAGAAACUAAACCCAAAUGGAAAAUAUUUUGACUGAGCUGCAGCUUGGCAUUUUUAUGCCACUAUUUACCUCUAGAAGAAGCAUGGAAAACUUCUCUAGCUUUUACAGUACACUUUCUAAAUACCAUUUCCCACUGGAGAAAUGGCUGAUUCUGGGUCAGGAGAAAAUGUACUAGGCAAAUGAGAAUAUCUUGUCAUUCCAGAUAACAAAAAAGACGUAAAAGACUGCAAUGCCAAAAGGACUCAGGAGCCAAAAGAACUGAGAAUAUGCCCAUGGGUCAAAAAUGGAACAAGUGCACCAUUAAAUUGAAAACAAGUGCAAUAGAUUAAAAUACAUCACAUGUUCAAAUCUUUGAGUUCAAAAUGAUACAAAAGCAACAUACAAACAAACAUAUAAACAGCAAUAACAACAACAGCCUCAAUGUUCAUCUUUGGACAUUGAUAGGAAGCAAAUUAUUUGGAAAAUAGUAAAAAAAAAAAUUAGAGUAUCUGUCCUGUAUUUCAUCUAUAAAAUAUUCAUUGAGGUAACCAAAUAGUUAAUAGUAAAGGAAAAUUUGUCUAUUUGUCUUCAUGGAAGUAUUUUAAUUUCUAGAAUAAAUGAAGAAGGAAUGAUAAAAUUAGAACAUUACCAUUUGGUGGUCCCUAAUGAGACAAUGGGUCCAGGCAAAAAAUCUUCAAUGGCUGUUGAGAUCACAAAAAGAAAGACCCCAGAUUUUAAGUGCCAGCUAUUAGAAAAAUACGAUUUUUCCUGAGAAGUAAGUUUGACAAAAAAAAAAAUUUAUAUUGAAUUCGAAUCAAGCCUCUAGAAAUAACAACCAAUCUACUAGAAUUACAGAGAUCAGAGAAACGUGUUCAAAGACACCGUGGGCAUAUAAACUACAAAAUCCAAAUUGUAGAAAACAUCAUAGGACAGACAAUAUGAUUUCUUCCACAAAUACACUGCAUGAUAAAAAAAGAGAGGAGUUUUAAGAGACUUAAAGAGCAAUCAAAUGCAAUAUUUGGAUGUUUCAUGGAUCCUCAUUUGAACAAAUGGUUAUUUAUUUUUAUGCUGUGUUUAUGAGAUAAUUGGGGAAAUGUGACCACUGACUGGAUAUUGGAUGAUAUUAAAAAUUAUUGUUAACUUUGAAUGCAAUAAUGGGAUGUAUGUGUGUGUUUAAUGAGUCCUUAUAUUUUACAGUUACAUGCUGAAUUAUUUAUGGAUGGAAUUACAUGUGCUUGGGAUUUGCUUCAAAAUAAUUGGGGAGUAGAAAAGAAUAAGAGUACUAUAUAGAUAAAAGAUUGGGCAUGAAUUUAAAAUGAAAGAAAAAUAAAAGAAAGGAAAAGAAAUAACAGAGAGGUUAAGAGGGUAGGCUCAGAGCCAAACUGCCUGGGAUCAAAUCUUCUUUCUGUCAUGACUAGCUGUGUGAUCCCAGAACAAGGAGUACAGAAAAUUAUC